rnacentral:rRNA from 1 species
CNNAUCGGAUGAGUACACUUUAAAUCCUUUAACGAGUAUCCAUUGGAGGGCAAGUCUGGUGCCAGCAGCCGCGGUAAUUCCAGCUCCAAUAGCGUAUAUUAAAGUUGUUGCGGUUAAAAAGCUCGUAGUUGGACUUGUGUCCCACGCUGUCGGUUCACCGCCCGUCGGUGUUUAACUGACAUGUAUCGUGGGACGUCCUGCCGGUGGUGGCGAGUCGAAAGAUCGCGCCCCCGCGGUUCGCUGCGGGUAGGUGGCGGUCCGUAGGCGGACCCCGAUGAAAUCCUACCGCGGUGCUCUUAAACGAGUGUCGAGGUGGGCCGGCACGUUUACUUUGAACAAAUUAGAGUGCUUAAAGCAGGCCUGAUGCGCCUGAAUACUGUGUGCAUGGAAUAAUGGAAUAGGACCUCGGUUCUAUUUUGUUGGUUUUCGGAACCCGAGGUAAUGAUUAAUAGGGACAGUCGGGGGCAUUCGUAUUGCGACGUUAGAGGUGAAAUUCUUGGAUCGUCGCAAGACGGACCGAAGCGAAAGCAUUUGCCAAGUAUGUUUUCAUUAAUCAAGAACGAAAGUUAGAGGUUCGAAGGCGAUCAGAUACCGCCCUAGUUCUAACCAUAAACGAUGCCAGCUAGCGAUCCGCCGAAGUUCCUCCGAUGACUCGGCGGGCAGCUCCCGGGAAACCAAAGCUUUUGGGUUCCGGGGGAAGUAUGGUUGCAAAGCUGAAACUUAAAGGAAUUGACGGAAGGGCACCACCAGGAGUGGAGCCUGCGGCUUAAUUUGACUCAACACGGGAAACCUCACCAGGCCCGGACACUGGAAGGA